rnacentral:RNase_P_RNA from 1 species
UAGGUCAAUCGGAUGGUUGCUUGUAUAAGUUAAUUAUAUAAGAGGAAAGUCCGAACUCCAUAGGAUAAAGUGCCUCUUGCUGAGGGAGGACCCUGUAAAGGGAUGGAAAGUGCCACAGAAAAUAAACCGCCUUUUAAAAAGGUAAGGGUGAAAAGGUGGUGUAAGAGACCACCAGUCUUUCUAGUAAUAGAUUGAGCUGGUAAACCCCACUUGGAGCAAAAUCAAGUAGCCUUGUGUUAUCCUAUCACAUAAGGGCGGGUAGAUUGCAUGAGUUUAAUCGUGAGGUUAAACCUAGAUAAAUAACCAUCAUUCAUUAAUGAAUACAGAAUUCGGCUUACAGAUUGACCUUUUUA